rnacentral:rRNA from 1 species
GACGAACGCUGGCGGCGUGCCUAAUACAUGCAAGUAGAACGAGUUGCGAACGGGUGAGUAACGCGUGGUAACCUGCCUCAUAGCGGGGGAUAACUAUUGGAAACGAUAGCUAAUACCGCAUACUGUGAGAUGGACCUGCUUGGGAUUAGCUAGUUGGUGAGGUAAAGGCUCACCAAGGCGACGAUACAUAGCCGACCUGAGAGGAUGACCGGCCACACUGGAACUGAGACACGGUCCAGACUCCUACGGGAGGCAGCCGUGGGGAAUAUUGCACAAUGGGCGCAAGCCUGAUAGAGCCAUGCCGCGUGUAUGAAGAAGGCCUUCGGGUUGUAAAGUACUUUCAGCGGGGAGGCGUUACCCGCAGAAGAAGCACCGGCUAACUCCGUGCCAGCAGCCGCGGUAAUUC